GCCCUUCGCCCCCGAGAUUUCCUGGUGGUGCCCUGUUCUUGGUUAGGGAAAACUAACUCCAAAACUCGGUGUUAACACCUUGGACAACAACUCCCAGGAUCCCUAGGGACAUGAUCCGAUCCAAGAAAACGGAUUUAUAAAAUGCAGGGGACACUCACCUCUCUCUGAACUUUCCUUGCCUGCUUCUCCUCUAACUUCCGCUGUUUCUUUGCGCCAAUCUUCCCGGAAACCUGGGAUUCAGCCGGUUCGGCUCCAUCGUUUUCUUCUAGGUAUGGUUUAACAAUCGUUUUUGAAGAGGGAAAAGGAAACGGAGAAAGAUCAUCAGUGCUAGAAGGAAGUGAGGUUUGCAAAGCAGGAGGAGGGAGGAGGAGGAGGAGGAAGAGGAGGAGGAAGAUGACAACUAUGAUGGAGUCCUUGGUGCUCUCUGAAGUUGGUUGUUUCUGUUAGGGAAUGGGUAUUGCCUAACUGGUUGGGUUAGCAAUAUAUAUAAACCAUCAAUGCAUGUUUCAAAAUGUAAUGUAUAGCUUGAAGACUGUAAUGCUGUAUUGCAUCAUAUUGUAUUCUGAUUGGCUAGCUCUGUAGCCAAUGUACUUAAGAGGAAGCUUGACUCAUGGCUUAUUUUUCUUAUUACAUUAUUAUUGCUACCUCUGCUCCUCUCUGCCUCUUCUCUCGGCAUGAUCACUGCUUGAUCAUUGCUACUUGUUGUUUUCUACUGUUUUACUGAUUGUUUUACUGCUGUACUUGUUCCUGUUUGCAACUCAAAAAAGAACUGUUUUAUUGCAUAUGACUACAACAACUGGUAAGAAGACUUUGUUCUUGGAAUAUCCCUGGAUUGACAAUUUAACUAUCUUUAUCUGUGUAUGACCUGGAUUGUUUAUUGGACUUUGCUUUGUUUUUUCCUAAAAGUAAAAGAAUAUCACAACUCA